CGUACGGCUCUGAUAUGUUUAACAAAUCUAUAUGAACUAUACCGCACUUCCCGAGACGAACACUGAAGUGCGUUACUGCGGGACCCGCGGCGCUCGUGGCCGGUCGCGUUGCCCUAGCGCCCACGCCACUCCGAACAACAUAGUUUAUAGGCUGGAUAAUCGGCGGACGAUAAAAAAUAAGCCGUUUGUAAUUGAAUAGCUGCGUGUAAAUAUUGCCGAUUAACCCACGCGUUAUCAGC